UCCCAGUUACCCGGGCGGUCUCGCGUGAAAGUGUAACACGCGACAAGGGUUGCGCUCGUUGCGGGACUUAACCCAACAUCUCACGACACGAGCUGACGACGGCCAUGCAGCACCUGUCACCAGGUUCCCGAAGGCACUCUCGCGUUUCUGCGAGAUUCCUGGGAUGUCAAGCCUCGGUAAGGUUUUUCGCUUAGCAUCGAAUUAAACCACAUACUCCACUGCUUGUGCGGGUCCCCGUCAAUUCCUUUGAGUUUUAAACUUGCGUUCGUACUCCCCAGGCGGGAUGCUUAUCGCGUUAGCUGUUCCGCACAAAGGGUCGAAACCUCGUACGGAUAGCAUCCAUCGUUUACGGCGUGGACUAC
rnacentral:misc_RNA from 1 species